rnacentral:lncRNA from 12 species
CCCCUCGCUGACUCUGAGGAGGACGGGGAACAGAGCCCGGUGACCAGGGCUGGGGCAGGAACCCCUGGGCAGUGGAGGCCGCAGAGCCAGCCUAGUGGGUGUGCGGACAGACAGUGGACAGACCUGCGGGGCCGGCGUCUCAGGCGGAGCGGGGGCCGUGACUGCGCAGACACCUUCCGAAACUCCUUCAGAUCACUACUUCACAGCAGCGAUCCCUUACGACAUGCUUGCGGUGUAGACAACACCCAGGAGCGGGCCUGCCUGUCCCCCUGGGCCUCCCGGUCCCACCUGGGCGGCCGCUGCCGGGGCGCAGGGUCACCGUCCUCGCUUCCUGCAGACGCGCCCCGGACCCUCGCGUGCGCGCCCCUAACCGCCGAGCGCCACCGCAGACUCCGCGGGUGGACAUCCCACGGCCUCUUGGGUGGCCCAGGCCGCCCCGCAGCGCCGUGCGCUUUUCACUGGGGGAGUUUGCGCGAUUUGUCCCCCCUCCGGUCGGGGACACGUGGCUGCCCCACACGGUCGCCGCCACGAGAAAGGUCCUGGGGAUGCUCGUGCGCGGACCCCGGUGCCCCAGGGUGGUCCCCGCCUGGGAGCGGGGCUGCGCGGGGCCGUGGGCAGGUGUCAGCUGUGCCGCCUGACCCCAGACCGGCCAUGGGGCCCCGCGGGCAGGUUCACCGCUGCGGAGAGGGGAGGGAUCUGCUUGGCUCCAGCCCUCCCCCCAGCCCUCCCCCCAGCCCUCUCCCACCAAGCCCCUCCCCCAGCGACCCCCGCCCUCGCCUCUACGUCCCAUACUUUUCAAGAUGGUCACAAUACUGCUCACAAAUGUCACAAAAUGACCAGGAAAGCAGCAGGAAUGGCUUGUUGGCUGCUCCAGUCUCGGGCUCCAGGGGACGGGGUGAUAGGACCCCUGAGCCCAGAGCCUGUGGAGAGACGACUCCCUUCCUGGCCCACAGGCGCGUGGAGCUCUCGGUGACUUCCACGGGCUGGCUGGGCCUCCAGCCCCUGACAUGCCUCUAA